rnacentral:rRNA from 1 species
GUGGGGAAUAUUGGGCAAUGGGCGAAAGCCUGACCCAGCAACGCCGCGUGAAGAAAGAAGGUCUUCGGAUCGUAAACUUCUAUCCUUGGUGAAGAUAAUGACGGUAGCCGAGAAGGAAGCCCCGGCUAACUACGUGCCAGCAGCCGCGGUAAUACGUAGGGGGCAAGCGUUGUCCGGAAUGAUUGGGCGUAAAGGGCGCGUAGGCGGCCUGGUAAGUCUGGAGUGAAAGUCCUGCUUUUAAGGUGGGAAUUGCUUUGGAUACUGUCGGGCUUGAGUGCAGGAGAGGUAAGUGGAAUUCCCGGUGUAGCGGUGAAAUGCGUAGAGAUCGGGAGGAACACCAGUGGCGAAGGCGACUUACUGGACUGUAACUGACGCUGAGGCGCGAAAGUGUGGGGAGCAAACAGGAUUAGAAACCCGGGUAGUCC